AUUGAACGCUAGCGAUAGGCUUAACACAUGCAAGUCGAGGGACCGGCGCACGGGUGCGUAACGCGUAUGCAACUUGCCUCACCGAGGGGGUUAACCCGUCGAAAGACGGACUAAUACCGCGUACUGUGAGAUAGGCAUGCUUCCGAUUAGCUAGUUGGUGAGGUAACGGCUCACCAAGGCAAUGAUGGGUAGGGGAACUGAGAGGGUGAACCCCCACACGGGUGCCGAGGGACGGACCAGUCUCCUACGAGAGGAAGCAGUGAGGAAUAUUGGUGAAUGGGCGAGAGCCUGAACCAGCCAAGUCGAGUGAAGGAUGACUGUCUAGAGAUUGUAAACUUCUUUGGUAGGGGAAUAUGUACCCUACGAAUAAGCAUCGGCUAACUCCGUGCCAGCAGCCGCGGUAAUAC
rnacentral:rRNA from 1 species